ensembl:lncRNA
ACACACACACACACACACACACACACACACACACACACACACACACACACACACACUCACUGUGUGUCAGUGCACAGGAAUGUUACACACACACACAUUUCUGUAAGAAAAUCCUACAACACUCCAAAUUCCGACAUGUUUCAAUGAAAUUGUGGUUUUAUCCUGCAACAAGACGACGAUCUGAAACAUGCAGCAAAGUGAGUGUGAAUACAAUAUAAACUAUAAUCUAUCAAAUAUAAACUAUAAUCCAUACACUCUAAGAUUAAGAUUUUCUCAAUUGUAUGGAAAUUAGGUAUGACGCUGUAAAGUGACCAUCUCGAAUGAUUCCUUGGACCUGCAAUUAGUUUUACUGUUUACAUUGAAAGAGAAACUUUUAACCCUGGUUUCAUCUAAUCCUGUCAUAUCAAACAAUCACAUCAAAUGUGUAUAGAGAUGUUAGGAAGACAAAUAAAGCUUGGAAGGAAGUAGAAGAGAUCGUUGGUGUGUCUGUGAGAGUAUGUAGCUAGUGUAGUUAGCAUGUUUUGCUAAUCUAAUCUGAGAACAAAGAUGAGCAUGAAACCCAGCUAUAUUACAACCAAAAGAGGUCAACAGGCCACUCCCACAAUCUACAGUAGCGGUCGUUACACACCCACAAGAGACUUCUUGCCUGCCUUCAGAUCUGAAACGGGGUGCAUAAACUUUUGAACACAUGUACAUAUCAACUAUCAUAUCAUAUAAUUUUUUAUUCUUAAUAUCUCAACCAUUUCGUUACAUUUGAUAACACAAAUAUGUCUUCCUUCUACAAACAUCAUCUCUUUGUCUUUAUCAUUUUGUCUUAAGGGUGUACAAACUUUUGCACACAUUUGUACACACACACACACACACACACACACAGAUUUGUUGCUUCUGAGCUUUCAUGGAAGAAUUCAUGUUAAUUUAUGUGAUUUUUUAUAUGUUGCCUCUUGACAGUGGUGUGUAUUAGUAAUAAUUAUUAAGAACAUCUGCAAUGCUGAAUAGUUUUGAUGUGUGUGUGUGUGUGUGUGUGUGUGUGUGUGAUCAUAAGCAAUGUUUUGAAAUUAUUCAUCGCGUGAUUAAUAGCGUUCAUCUGUUGUUUUCUUGAAUGUGGUGUCAUCCUGUGAAGAUGAUGAUGAUGAUUUACUUCUUGGUUUCUGAAUACACAUGCGAGUGUGUGUGAGUGUGUGUGAGUGUGUGUGAGUGUGUGUGAGUGUGUUUUAAAUGGGAAAUGAAAUAACACAUACACAUACACGCAAAGUGAUUCCAAAACUAAUAAACUGUGUGUGAAUGUUUCAGUUAAGCAGGCUGCUCACCCGACAAACACACACACACACACACACACGCACACACACACACCACAGACACGUAACAGUAUCUUCGUGAGUUUUGUCGGUGUUAUAGUAAUGCUAAUAAUGCCAUGUUUGACCGCUAUGCUACGGUUACUUUACUCUAAUCACAUGCAAAUCUUUCCGAUGCAGGAAAAGAAGCCUUUAUUGAGACAAUACAAACGAUACAAUACAAUACAAUACAAACAAUACAAACAAUACAAUACAAACAAUACAAUACAAACAAUACAAUACAAACAAUACAAACAAUACAAUACAAACAAUACAAACAAUACAAUACAAUACAAACAAUACAAACAAUACAAUACAAUACAAACAAUACAAACAAUACAAUACGAACAAUACAAACAAUACAAUACAAACAAUACAAUACAAACAAUACAAACAAUACAAUACAAUACAAACAAUACAAUACAAACAAUACAAUACAAUACGAACAAUACAAUACAAACAAUAC